UACGGAGGGGGCAAGCGUUAUCCGGAUUCACUGGGUUUAAAGGGUGCGUAGGUGGGUUGGUAAGUCCGUGGGGAAAUCUCCGAGCUUAACUCGGAAACUGCCGUGGAUACUAUCAAUCUUGAAUAUCGUUGAGGUAAGCGGAAUAUGUCAUGUAGCGGUGAAAUGCUUAGAUAUGACAUAGAACACCAAUUGCGAAGGCAGCUUACUACACAGUUAUUGACGCUGAGGCACGAAAGCGUGGGGAUCAAACAGG
rnacentral:rRNA from 1 species